GUGGGGAAUCUUGCACAAUGGGCGAAAGCCUGAUGCAGCCAUGCCGCGUGAAUGAUGAAGGCCUUAGGGUUGUAAAAUUCUUUCGUCAGGGAUGAUAAUGACCGUACCUGAAGAAGAAGCCCCGGCUAACUUCGUGCCAGCAGCCGCGGUAAUACGAAGGGGGCUAGCGUUGUUCGGAAUUACUGGGCGUAAAGCGCACGUAGGCGGACUUUUAAGUCAGGUGUGAAAUCCCGGGGCUCAACCUCGGAACUGCAGUUGAAACUGGAAGGCUUGAGAUCAGGAGAGGUUAGCGGAAUACCGAGUGUAGAGGUGAAAUUCGUAGAUAUUCGGUGGAACACCAGUGGCGAAGGCGGCUAACUGGACUGAUACUGACGCUGAGGUGCGAAAGUGUGGGGAGCAAACAGGAUUAGAAACCCCGGUAGUCC
rnacentral:rRNA from 1 species